AAAAUAACGACCCCCAGCAAAGCCUGGGGGCCCAGAUCACCUGUUAGCCUCUACAAUCUCUUCUCAGCUGCUCCCAAAGGAAUCACUUACAGCACCAGAAUGCUCCUCUCAAACUCUUUUCUCUGAGGAUGCUGUUUCCAAAAGAAAAAAAGCCCAGGCCUUUAUUCCCUGGAUCCAGCCUCUUCCCUCCACGUAUUCCACUGGGGCCCGGGCUUCAUCUCGCUCCCCCCGCCCCCCGUGCUGUGUUCCAGAGGCCCACGCUGGAGUCGGCUGCAAUCAAUCAAUGGUAUUUCUACUAGGUCCAGAGCCCUGUACUAAACGCUUGGCUAGGCCAAACUCAACUCAAGACUACCGGAGAGGAAUUGAGGAAUUCUUCUGCCGAGUAUCAUCCCAAAGCAGUGCCUUGAUUCACCAUUCAGGAGAGCAGUGUUCACGUGUUCUAUUCAUCACAGAAGAGAAAAGCCCCCUUCAGUCUCCAGAAAGUGAUGAAUGAAAAGGACUUUCAAAGCCGAGUCGUUUAUUUCAGAUUCCCCGUGAAAAGUUGCUCUUGGGAAACAGAUAGGAGCAGUCUUCAGCCAUCUUAACCCAACCCUGGAAAUGGCAAAUGAAUUCACAACCUCAGAUCAUUACCAAAAUACCAGUAUCACUUUGGUCCAGAGACGGAUCAGUCACUAGCAGGUCACGGAUUAGUUCCAGUCACCAAGGAGGCUUGGGGCAGAACUCAUCGAACAACCAAAAAAAAAAAAAGCCACUCCAAAUGUAGCCUCUGCAAAAGUGGAAUUUUCAUUCAAACCUUGUAAGACUGCAAAAAUCUAUAGCUGAGUCAAUAAAAAUGUAGCUUGAUAUACCAAAAAAAAAAGAGGGAAGUUGGCUCACAAAAAGUAAGUACAAUAAAUUCUUGGUGGAAAAUU